rnacentral:rRNA from 1 species
AUACGAAGGGGGCUAGCGUUGUUCGGAGUUACUGGGCGUAAAGCGCGCGUAGGCGGAUUGGUCAGUUAGGGGUGAAAUCCCAGGGCUUAACCCUGGAACUGCCUCUAAUACUGCCAGUCUUGAGUUCGGGAGAGGUGAGUGGAAUUCCUAGUGUAGAGGUGAAAUUCGUAGAUAUUAGGAAGAACACCAGUGGCGAAGGCGGCUCACUGGCCCGAUACUGACGCUGAGGCGCGAAAGCGUGGGGAGCAAACAGGAUUAGAUACCCUAGUAGUCC